rnacentral:rRNA from 1 species
UACGGAGGAGGCAAGCGUUAAUCGGAAUUACUGGGCGUAAAGCGUGCGUAGACGGUUAUUUAAGUCAGGUGUGAAAGCCCAGGGCUCAACCUUGGAAUUGCAUUUGAGACUGAAUAGCUAGGGUGCGGAAGAGGGAAGCGGAAUUUCCGGUGUAGCGGUGAAAUGCGUAGAUAUCGGAAGGAACACCAGUGGCGAAAGCGGCUUCCUGGUCCAGCACCGACGUUCAGGCACGAAAGCGUGGGGAGCAAACAGG